UAGUAGAUUGAUUUAUGAAACUUAAAGAAUAUGGCGGUAUUUUAUUCAAUUUAGAGGAACCUGUUUUUUGAUUGAUAAUCCACAAUUAAUUUUACUUAAUUUUAUUUAAUUUAUAUAUCGUCGUUAUAAAAGUUUUUUUUAAAAAAAAAUAAAAUUUAGUAAAUUAUAUUUUAAMUUAAAUCAGAUCAUGAUGUAGUUUAUGGUUAAGAUAAUAAUGGGUUAUAAUAAAAAAAGUAUUUUUGGAUAUCUUAAUGAAAUUUAAGAUAGAAUUUAGAUUUAAAUGUAAUUUGAUUAAUUUUAAUUGAAUGAUUUUAUGAUUUAUAAUAUGUACAUAUUGCCCGUCGCUCUCAUUUU
rnacentral:rRNA from 1 species